rnacentral:rRNA from 1 species
CCUACGGGAGGCAGCAGUGGGGAAUAUUGCGCAAUGGGCGAAAGCCUGACGCAGCGACGCAGCGUGAGGGAUGAAGGCCUUCGGGUUGUAAACCUCUUUCAGCGGGGACGAAGCGAAAGUGACGGUACCCGCAGAAGAAGCACCGGCUAACUACGUGCCAGCAGCCGCGGUAAUACGUAGGGUGCAAGCAUUGUCCGGAUUUAUUGGGCGUAAAGAGCUCGUAGGCGGCUUGUCACGUCGGGUGUGAAAACUUGGGGCUCAACCCCAAGCCUGCACUCGAUACGGGCUAGCUAGAGUGUUGCAGGGGAGACUGGAAUUCCUGGUGUAGCGGUGAAAUGCGCAGAUAUCAGGAGGAACACCGGUGGCGAAGGCGGGUCUCUGGGCAACUACUGACGCUGAGGAGCGAAAGCGUGGGGAGCGAACAGGAUUAGAUACCCUGGUAGUCCGACGCCGUAAACGGUGGGCGCUAGGUGUGGGGAACCUUCCACGUUCUCUGUGCCGCAGCUAACGCAUUAAGCGCCCCGCCUGGGGAGUACGGCCGCAAGGCUAAAACCGUUAAAGGAAUUGACGGCUUGAGAGUUGCCGACGGCGACGACGAGGGAGGAGG